AACGAACGCUGGCGGCGUGGAUAAGACAUGCAAGUCGAACGCUCGCUUCGGGGUAGCAAUAUUCCGGAGCGGGAGUGGCGCAAGGGUGCGUAACACGUGGGUCAUUUGCCGUGAAGCUGGGAACAACUCGUUGAAAGACGAGCUAAUACCCAAUGUGCUCCGCAAGGAGUAAAGCCGGGGACCGCAAGGCCUGGCACUUCACGAUAAGCCCGCGGCCUAUCAGCUAGUUGGCGGGUAAAAGCCCACCAAGGCUAAGACGGGUAGCUGGUCUGAGAGGACGACCAGCCACACUGGAACUGAGACACGGUCCAGACACCUACGGGUGGCAGCAGUCGAGAAUUUUUCACAAUGGGCGCAAGCCUGAUGGAGCGACGCCGCGUGGGGGAUGAAGGGCUUCGGCUCGUAAACCCCUGUCAUUCGCGAACAAAGGUGCCGGCCUAACAUGCCGUCGCCUGAUAGUAGCGGAAGAGGAAGGGACGGCUAACUCUGUGCCAGCAGCCGCGGUA
rnacentral:rRNA from 1 species